rnacentral:tRNA from 1 species
AGUGUAGCUCAGUUGGUAGAGCACUGGUCUCCAAAACCAGGUGUCGGGGGUUCGAGCCCCUCCACU